ACUAACGCUGGCGGCAUGCCUCAUACAUGCAAGUCGAACGGUAACAGGCGUAGCAAUACGUGCUGACAAGUGGCGCACGGGUGAGUAACGCGUAGAAAUCUACCUUAGAGUGGGGGAUAACCUGGGGAAACUCGGGCUAAUACCGCAUGAUAUUGAAAAAUUAAAGGAGCAAUUCGCUCUAAGAUGAGUCUGCGUAUGAUUAGCUAGUUGGUAGGGUAAUGGCCUACCAAGGCGACGAUCAUUAGCUGGUCUAAGAGGAUGAUCAGCCACAAUGGAACUGGUACACGGUCCAUACUUCUACGGAAGGCAGCAGUAGGGAAUUUUGCGCAAUGGGCGAAAGCCUGACGCAGCAAUGCCGCGUGUAGGAAGAAGCAUCUUGGUGUGUAAACUACUGUCGGUGGGGAAAAAGAAAGUGAUUGUACCCGCAAAGGAAGCAUCGGCUAACUACGU
rnacentral:rRNA from 1 species